UACGGAGGGGGCUAGCGUUGCUCGGAAUCACUGGGCGUAAAGCGCACGUAGGCGGCUUGUUAAGUCAGGGGUGAAAUCCUGGAGCUCAACUCCAGAACUGCCUUUGAUACUGGCGAGCUUGAGUCCGGGAGAGGUGAGUGGAACUGCGAGUGUAGAGGUGAAAUUCGUAGAUAUUCGCAAGAACACCAGUGGCGAAGGCGGCUCACUGGCCCGGUACUGACGCUGAGGUGCGAAAGCUAGGGGAGCGAACAGG
rnacentral:rRNA from 1 species